rnacentral:miRNA from 1 species
CCUGAAUCCCUUCAAGUGGACA